rnacentral:lncRNA from 1 species
GACGUUGGACGUUGGUCCUGCUGACAGGUUGGGGUUUGGAUCUUGCGCUCCUGGUAUCAGGACCCCAGUUAUGAAUAAUUCCCAGUCCUGGCCAUGGAAGCUGGGGAUAUCCAAGAUACGAACAUUGAUGCCUUGUAAGGUUAGUGAUUGGAGCAUGCAACCUUUUCCGUUUGACCUCUGGUCUUCAGCUUAUCCCUGCCCAUUUCCUACUUAGGAAAGUCUGCAUUGGGUAACAGGUAGCACUUCCUGUGGAGUCUGCAAUGUUGAGCACAGGACGCAGGUCAGCAUGGGUCUUGCACACGUCCUGCAUCAGCCAGGGGGAUGGGCUGGCUGAGAAAUAAAAGCUAAGAAAUAGUACCAUGAAAUAACCACAGAAGACAGAAAUAUAGUUUCAGAGCGAGAGCAGCAACAGACCAGCUCACCAGACGGGUGCAGCUUCUAACAAAGAUGGAGCCCAUGCUUGCUUUAUUUAUAGGGGUACAGGUCAAAGGGGAUUGGUAGGUAUAAGGUCUCCGUGUGGGAGGAGUCUUGUCUCCGUGCUUGCUUCUUCAUGAAAAACAGGAUAUAUGUGCAGGUAGGCAGGCUGUUUGGCUAACGGGUCACGCCCAUGUCUGGUGUUUUGAGCAGAGCUGGGUAGGAGUUCACAUGUAUCAGGUCAUCUCACCAGCAGGAGUGCUGCUGUGUGUUCCCAGAUACCAGAUCUUCCCGUUCAAUGGCUUCAGUGCCCAUCUGUUCUAUGCACAUUUUGCGGGUGGCUUCCCACACAUGGGGACAUCAUCUUUCAGGAAGCCAUAUCCUUGUAGGCAAAUUGUGAUCAAGCUAGUAUAUAAGUUCUCUUAAAAUUACCAACAAAGCAACUGAAUGUACCUUAAAACUUAAAUCAAAAAGGAAUAAACUUAAAAGCCCACUAAUGACACUACUAAGGGAUACAAGACAAAACAUACAGUGAUGAUCUGGGGCUGAAGGUGCAGAUUGGCUGGGCCACAGCAUGAAGGAAUGAGAGUCCCACCAAAAGCAGGUACCAAAAGCACCCCAGAUGCAGAAGGCAAGCAGAGCCCAAGUGUAUGCAACUCAGGGACAGACUAGUUCCUGUCAUGGACCAGGCUAUAUGGGCAAUGACCAAACAGACUCCAUUUUACCCUAAGACUCCAUACCAUGUAAGAAAUGCUUCUCUGGUGGCAAAGCCCCGCCUCUGUACCUAUUAAUAGAAACCUAGCAUAACAUACUUGGCAACACAAAAUAGUAAUUCUUAUACAAUGUAAAAUUGUCCUCUUUGGUUUCCAUUUUUCUUGGGCAAUGUACCUUGUCAGAGAUGGAUUGUCUAGAUGUUAGUAAUCACUCUUCAACUUCGUACUCAGCUAGGGUCAUUUUGACCCACUUCCCUUCUGCUUGCUUGCUGCUAUGCCAACCUGGAAAGUCCUGUGGGAAAUACCAGUGUACCCACUGCGUUGUCUCAUUAACUGCUCACUUCAGCUUCUGGACCUGCUUGCUUGCAGCUACGUCAACCCAGAUGUGGUUUUUGCCUUUAAAUAUCCUAAAAUGCUCAGGAUUGGGGCUGUUCCUUGCAGAGACAGUUAUGGGUCCUGUGGGGAGCAGUCCAACUGGCCAGCUAAAUAAAGACUCUUUAAUUUGGACAAAACUGGGACUUAGUGUGUUUUCUGAGCGACCUGCCCCACAACAGUUCCCAGCUGGCACUGCAUGGGAACUCAGAGUCACCAGUGUUGGACCUGGAAUGGGCACCUCCAAGCACCAAGUGGAGGAUCACAGCGUAUCUAGAGAGCAGUCAUUGCAGAGAGGAGAACGAUACUCCUGCCUCCCAGCCAAGCCAGUGCAUAUCCCAAGCGUACCCCAGAGGGCCAGGAAAAGCGGUGCUCCCAUUUUGCCGGUUAUAAAGGGUCAUGGCUGAUACUCUUACGACAAAAGGCAGUUUAACAAGAGAAAAGCGUAGCAGGUUUAUUAAGGUGUACAUGUUUACAUGAGCCACACCAAAAAUGAAGCCCAAGAAGAGGGCCAGACGGUUGAAGGUUAAAAUCUUCUUCAUAGGAAGAGGGUGUGAGGGCUUCCUGCAAUUCUAGAGGGGAAUAGGUGGAUCUGGGGAGAAAUUAAUGACUCCAAGAUGAUACAAUAGUUUGAGACCAAGUUCCUCUGGGCUCUGAUUUCCAGUCUCUUCAUCCAUGAUAAAAAUUUAAUCUUCCUUUGUUAGUAAAAUUCCAGCAAAGGAUUUUUGGGACAAUUCUAAGAUCUUUGGUAGAUCUGGAAAUUGAGGAAAAGCCCCUUCCUAGGCUUCAGAAGAGAAUAAGGACAGAGAGGAUCCAGAGACUGGCUGUGGAGGAGUUAAACCUGCUCCCGAGACUCUGCAGCUCAGCAUGUCAAAAUACCACACUUUGGGGUACAUUUUCUGAGCCCUCAAAAUACAAAAGGCAAGUAAGAAGAAAAAUGGCCCCUAAAAUUAAUUGGGAAGUAGAUUACUGUCACCGAAAUGCAAACUGUAGGGCAUACGUAAAAUGGAUACCCCUGAAGUAUGUUUAAAAUUGCCAAGAGAAAAAUGCAAGCCUAACACUCAUGUCAAAGAAUAAGAAAUUACAAAAGUUAAAUAAGUACAUAUGAAGCAAGAACAGAUGGAUAUGAAAACUACCAAUGAGAAGUCCUGAGCAUGAAAAAUUGCCGUUGAAAUAGCUCAGUAGGUCGUGUAAGUUGUAGACUAGGCACAAGCAAAGACAGAGAACUAAGGGACUAAAAUGCAUUUGCCCAGGACACAGAGCAGAGAGACAAGGGGGCGAGGGUGGAGGAGACCAGCUAAGCUCUCCGGAGGGAAUGAGAUGAAAAGGACUGACUCCCUGUAGGAAGAAGAAAGCAGGGCUAGCUGAGUUGUUCCAAAGGAGAGUGGCCAUUUUACAGAAUCAGAACUGUCCAGUUUGAGCCCCACACUGAGGACUGAGCAGGAUGGACACUCGCGCCCACAGGGAAACUGAACGAGGAAUAAGAGGAAACCUGACGUGACUGGGGGGAGAACAGGCGUCAACGUCAGGUGUGGUGACACGGGAGACAGGUCACGGCCCCACAGCGCUCAUGUUCACACAAGUAAGUCAUGCAGAUAAUUUAGUAAACAAGUGAGAAAGUGCUAGGUGGUGAUGAGGGAAAGAAAAGCCAGCCUGCUGCGUUGGACCAUGUCCGUCCGCAUGAUAUCCCCUGGGUCCACCUGGAACUUCAGAAUGCGACUGUAUUUGGAAAUAGAAUCUUUGAGAUGUGAGAAGUUAAAAUGAAGUCAUGCUGGUUUCCAGUGGGCCCUAAAUGCAGUGACGAGUGUCCUUCUAAGAAGAAGAGACACAGAGAGAAGCUGGCCAUGAGACUGGGCGGUGCAGACAAAAUCCAAGAAACGCCCAGGAUUUCAGGAGCUGGAGAGGCGGGAAGGAGCCCCACCACAGCCUUCAGAGGGAGCACGGCCCUGGCCACACCUGGAUUUGGGACUGUGGACUCCAGACUGUGAAAGGAUGAGCCUCUGUUGUUUCAGCUGUCCAGUUUGUGAAGUGUUACAGGUGCCCAGGACCCUGAUAGAAAGAGGUAGAAAAGUCCCUGCCCUCUCUGUGAAUAUCUGCCCUUCCGUAUGUUGAACUUGGGUUCACAACCAAUAAUAACCUGUGACCAAAUCCUAGGAGUAGCCCUGACUCAUGCUGCCCUAAUCCUUUGGGCUUCGCUUCCCAGGUGGCAAGGGCAGCUAAAUCCCUGGGCUUUGAGGUCAGGACAACUUUGCUUUGAGCUUACCGGCUUAGAAGAUACACUUUAAAGCAAGUCGAGGUAAUUACAGUUUCCUAGGAACAGAAAGGUGUUCUUCAGCGACCUCAGCAUUUUGGUGCCUCCACCCUGCCUCAGGGUCCCCCCCUCCUGACUCCUGGAAACAUCUCCAUCCCCUUCCUUGUCAUCAGGCCUGAGUCUGGGCCUCCGCUGGCUCUAGCACGUCCUGCAUCUCUGUUCUGCCUGGGUCUCCUCUGCUGCUCCCUGAGGUCACUCAGUCUACCCUGCAGGCGUUUACAUGCAUUUUAACACUUCAACACAAAAUCACUACAGUGAGACUGUAAUGCCAGGUUCAUGGGACCCCAAUAGACCUCCAGGAGCAGAAUCCGAUGCAAUCACACAAGAGUCUUUAUUGCAAGCUCGAGCCUAGACUCACAACUCUUCCCGACGCAGCGGUCCCAGGGAGUGAGUCCUGGUCCUUUGUUCAGUGAGAUUUUAUAGGUUUUGGGAGGAUACUCUAUGUGUCACAACAUCACACAGCAAAUCAUUCCAUACUGCGGGAAAAUCAAACAACAACUCUUAACAUUGGUUAGCACAUUCACUGGCGGGAACAAGUUGGGUAGGGGUGAUUGGUUAGUACAAGAGGGGGAUUCCUUUGAACUGAUUGGUUUAGGCCACGAGGGGCAUACGUGCUAAACUACAUGGUUUCCCAACACGUUAUCAACACCAUAAACUACUGGGUGGUCAUCUGGCAUUCCAGGUAUUUCCCCUGUCUCAUGCUGAUUGGAGGUUGCUAGGGGGUUGCUAUGGGUCCUCACCUAGCCUAACUGAGUCAGGGACACCUGGCACCACAGACCUCUCCUGUUAUUUACAGACAAACAACUCACAGGGUGGGUAUGUGCUUAGGAGUGCUCUGUGGGUUUUUCCAAGGACAAAGGUCACGCCCCCUUCCUUAGGACAGGCCUUGAGGUAGAAGCUGCUGUUAUUUAUUUAUUUUCAAAAAUGGAGUCACAUCAGUUUCUCAAGACUUUAAGGACAAGAAGCAGGCUGUGGCUCAGGGCUAGCCCAGCUGCUGAAGCCCAAGGGGGCAACUCACCUGGCUUGAGUUUGUGUUGGCACACCACCCUCAAUCACUUGGGAUUUCCACCUGUCACCCCUCAAAAUCAGAAGCCAUGCCCUGUUCUAGGCUCAGAAUCAGAAGCAUUCCUGGUGUUGAGGAUCUCACAAUCUGUUUUUGUUUGUUUGUUUGUUUCAGCACUGGGGAUGGGACGAGGAGUACUUUAGUACUCAGCCACAUUCCCAACUCCUUUUUAUUUUUCAUUUUGAAUCAGGGUUUCACUAAGUUGUUGAGACUGACUUUGAACUUGUGGUCCUCCUGCCUCUGCCUCCUGAGCAGCUGGGAUUAUAAGCAUGUGCCACUGCAUUUAGUUACAUAAUCCAGCUUAAUCUGGUGACAAUACUGUCACUCCUGUACUAUAUUUCAGUGUAUCAAUUUAAUUGAUGAUAGGUUCCUUCCUAUGGGAGAGGGGGUUAAAAAGAAUAGGAAUCUGGUUAUUUCACUCACAUCUUUUCUUUUCUGGCCUUAUUUGUCACUGUGCUCCAAGCUGCCUCACGUUUGCUGGAAGGCUCUGGAAGUGGUGCCAACCUGGGCAAUCUCUCUGGCUGAUCUGUGGAGACCUCAGGGGACAAAAGGGCUGGAGGUGGCACUGGUGCAGUUAGUGCUGCCAGCAUCUCACAAUGACAAUGCAACUUUCCCCUCCCCAUGGCCCACCCUCACACAGCCAGGGGCCACCUGAGCCCACCUGGGCCUUGGGGCAACCAGAUUAGUUGUCUUCUGCCUAGGAUGGAAUGCUCCAGAGAGGACCUCAGGCUAGAAGUGCCAGAUGGCGUUCGUGCGCCCUCUCCUGCCAACCCCCACGGUGCGUGGCAAACCCUGUUGUCUGAGUCGGAGCCUGUUGCCAGCCUGAGCCAGCCAGUCAGUAAGUGCUACAGCUAAGGUCCACACCAGCUGAAGAACCCGGAGAGACCCGUGCCUGGCUCAGGUUCCCCUCCAUGGCUUCUGGAGAACGUCUUCCUGAACGCCUCGUGGCCGGCUAGGUCCUAGCCAGGUGAUAUCCUUUGCUGGCACACCCAAACAUCCGAACGCAGGGAGGUGUGUGGGACUUGUGUUCAGUUCAGAAACGAGUUUAAACCAAACCUGGCCUCAGCCAAAGGCCCUCUGGCAUUGCAUUUGCUGGCCAGAUCCCACUUGAGAGUGGUGCAGAGACCGUGGUUCUCGGAACUGUCUGGAGAACUUUGCUCUUACUAGCUGCUCCUUCCCUCUGGCACUACUCUGGCUGCUCUUUGAGGGGACCUGCCCUAACUGCCUCCUUCUGGACUUGCUGCAUUGCUUAUGGGCAGGAAUCCCAGGCUCGGCUCUGCUUGCAGGAUGAAAGAAUCCAGAAGAGCCUGUGUCUGUCAUUGUUUUAAAUCCUGUGCUGAGGAGACAAACUCAGCUAAAAACCACAUUUUCCUGUUAUACAAAGCUCACCAAGGCAGAAACGGCACUCUGUCAAGUGAGAGCAUGAGGACUCUAGAGGACUUGGCAAACAGAGUUCUUGGUGUCCACGUUGUCCCCAGCACUGAAGUGUGCUCCUGGGCUGCAGGCCGUCCGUCCUUGCUGGAGACCGCGGGGCUGGGGACGGCCGGGCUUUCCUUUCCCACUGUUCAGCGUCAGCGCAGUAUGGGUUUUUCCCAGCACCCCUCGCCCAGCUUGCUUUUGGCUGGUGUUUUGUGGCAGGAGACAGACAUGGAGGGCCAUCUACAACAGAGGGAUGCAUCAGGCAGGCGAGAAGCCUGGCAAGUGGAGGAGAGAGGAAGAGCAGAUGUCGAAAGGCCAAGAAGACUGGGGUGCUCUCCCCACGCCCUCACUCUGGGGAAGGGCAGGCAGGGUGCACAUGGCCAGGAUGUGGCCCUCCUCUGAAGAGUUAAAAAUGUCUUUGCACAGGGACACUUGGAACUUUGUUUCAAAUCUAAGCAACCGGCAGGAAUAAAGAGGAGCCUGUGGGCUCAUGUAGUCAAGGAAACACUGAGAUCAGACCUCUCUCUGCCCAGUCUCCAGUUCCAGUCUUUCAUGUCACCUUUCUGUCCCUAGCUCCUUUUUCUUCUUCCUGCAAAGGCAAAAACCAGAGUGACCCUUCUAAAUCUCCAGAUUUUCAGUGGAUGACUAGUUCAAGAUCAAGCAUGACGGUCACACAGAAAACAAACAGAAAGUAAAGAGCAAGAGGAGAACAAGUGGGCAGAGCCAGAAAUCCCACCCAGAGAUGGUGAAGGCCACAUUCAUGGCCAGCAUUGACCUCAGGGGCUGGAGGACCAAUGCAGACUGCUCUGUCACCUUGGUUGGUACCUGUGGGGAAAGGGAGAGAAACGGAGAAGGAUGUGGGAAUGUAGGGCAUGAGCUCUGCUGUCAGGAGCAAGACCUCUCCCCCGCCCAGGAGGCAGCGCCCACUGAAAUUGGAAACAUUCUCGGUCUGUGUAUAAAUGCUGUUUUCAUUCUU